rnacentral:lncRNA from 1 species
UCCCACUGCCAGGGCGCUUGAAGGAGAAACAGGCUCAACUAGUCACAGAGACAACCAUGCUCUGGGUCUAGUUCUCCCUGACCCCACAGGCCAGGAGUGCCCCUAUUAGAUGGCAAGCAAGCAAGGGGCCAAGGUCCUCACCCAGCAAGACUCCCAGCUCCUAAUUCCUUCUUAUCACAUCCUGGUAUAAUUCCUUCUACUCAUGGCCACCAGAACAAUGGGUGGAAGGUAGGUGGUUACAUCAUUAAAUGUCACAGGCCUUAUUUGCAAAGACAGAGACAUCUGGAGCUGUUGUCCUCACCUCCGACAUGUGCCCCGUCUGCAGAGAGCAUUAGGAUGCAUCUGUGGCUCUGAGGAAUUCAUCAGCCUCAUGAGAAGAUGAACGAUAGAGAUGUCACCAACAUCAGGACCCCACUCCCUGGGAGAUGUCAUGGAAACUUGUCAAUCACACCCAAAGCACUCACUGAGGAGCCGUGGCAGAGCAGUCG